rnacentral:rRNA from 1 species
UACGGAGGGGGCCAGCGUUGUUCGGAAUUAUUGGGCGUAAAGGGCGCGUAGGCGGCAGGAUAAGUCUGACGUGAAAUCCCUCGGCCUAACCGAGGAACUGCGUUUGAAACUGUCCAGCUCGAGUCCGGGAGAGGGUAGUGGAAUUCCCAGUGUAGCGGUGAAAUGCGUAGAUAUCGUAAGGAAGACCAGUGGCGAAGGCGGGUCUCUGGACAGUUCCUGACGCUGAGGCACGAAGGCCAGGGGAGCAAACAGG